rnacentral:rRNA from 1 species
AUGCUUGUCUCAAAGAUUAAGCCAUGCAUGUCUAAGUCCAAGCUGUGUUCACACGGCGAGACCGCGGACGGCUCAUUAAAUCAGUCGUGGUCCAAAUGGGCCAGUGCAAAUCCUACUUGGAUAACUGUGGUAAUUCCAGAGCUAAUACAUGCAACUGAUAUCCCGAAGGCGGUGUUUGGGCUUGCUUGCCUUGCGCUGCGCUGCUCUGACGGAUGCUUUUAUUAGACCAAGCCGCUGAGGACUUGAGGGUUCGCGCUCUCUUGUCUGACUCGUGUGAUGGUGACUCUGGAUAACCAAAUUCUGACAAGCGCACGUACUUCUCUUCUGAGCGAGACGGCGCUGCCACUUUCGAGUGUCUGCCUUAUCAGCUAUCAACCGUUCGUUAUGCGCGACCGAUGGCUUUGACGGGUAACGGGGAAUCAGGGUUCGAUUCCGGAGAGGCAGCCUGAGAGACGGCUACCACGUCCAAGGACGGCAGCAGGCACGCAAAUUACCCAAUCCCAGCAAAUGGGGGAGGUAGUGACGAAAUCUAACGAUGCGGGCGCCCUUUCUGGGGCCCCGCAAUCGGAAUGGGCACUUUCUAAACAACCUG